UGGGGAAUUUUGGACAAUGGGCGAAAGCCUGAUCCAGCAAUGCCGCGUGUGUGAAGAAGGCCUUCGGGUUGUAAAGCACUUUUGUCCGGAAAGAAAUCCUUGGCUCUAAUACAGUCGGGGGAUGACGGUACCGGAAGAAUAAGCACCGGCUAACUACGUGCCGGCAGCCACGGUAAUACGUAGGGUGCAAGCGUUAAUCGGAAUUACUGGGCGUAAAGCGUGCGCAGGCGGUUUGCUAAGACCGAUGUGAAAUCCCCGGGCUCAACCUGGGAACUGCAUUGGUGACUGGCAGGCUAGAGUAUGGCAGAGGGGGGUAGAAUUCCACGUGUAGCAGUGAAAUGCGUAGAGAUGUGGAGGAAUACCGAUGGCGAAGGCAGCCCCCUGGACCAAUACUGACGCUCAUGCACGAAAGCGUGGGGAGCAAACAGGAUUAGAUACCCUGGUAGUCCACGCCCUAAACGAUGUCAACUAGUUGUUGGGGAUUCAUUUCCUUAGUAACGUAGCUAACGCGUGAAGUUGACCGCCUGGGGAGUACGGUCGCAAGAUUAAAACUCAAAUGAAUUGACGGGGUCA
rnacentral:rRNA from 1 species